CGGGACGGGUGAGUAACGCGUGGGCAACCUGCCUCAUACAGGGGGAUAACAGUUAGAAAUGACUGCUAAUACCGCAUAGGACCACGGAGCCGCAUGGCUCAGUGGGAAAAACUCCGGUGGUAUGAGAUGGACCCGCGUCUGAUUAGGUAGUUGGUGAGGUAACGGCCCACCAAGCCGACGAUCAGUAGCCGACCUGAGAGGGUGACCGGCCACAUUGGGACUGAGACACGGCCCAG
rnacentral:rRNA from 1 species